UACGUAGGCAGCAAGCGUUGUUCGGAAUUACUGGGCGUAAAGAGUGUGUAGGCGGUGCUCUAAGUUUGUCGUGAAAUCUCCCGGCUUAACUGGGAGGGUGCGGCGAAAACUGGAGUGCUAGAGGGUGGGAGAGGAAAGCGGAAUUCCUGGUGUAGCGGUGAAAUGCGUAGAUAUCAGGAGGAACACCUGCGGUGUAGACAGCUUUCUGGACCACUUCUGACGCUGAGACACGAGAGCGUGGGUAGCAAACAGG
rnacentral:rRNA from 1 species